GUAGUCCACGCCGUAAACGUUGGGAACUAGAUGUGGGGACCAUUCCACGGUCUCCGUGUCGCAGCUAACGCAUUAAGUUCCCCGCCUGGGGAGUACGGCCGCAAGGCUAAAACUCAAAGGAAUUGACGGGGGCCCGCACAAGCGGCGGAGCAUGCGGAUUAAUUCGAUGCAACGCGAAGAACCUUACCAAGGCUUGACAUAUACCGGAAACGGCCAGAAAUGGUCGCCCCGCAAGGUCGGUAUACAGGUGGUGCAUGGUUGUCGUCAGCUCGUGUCGUGAGAUGUUGGGUUAAGUCCCGCAACGAGCGCAACCCUCGUUCUAUGUUGCCAGCACGUAAUGGUGGGAACUC
rnacentral:rRNA from 1 species